rnacentral:rRNA from 1 species
UACGUAGGGUGCAAGCAUUAAUCGGAUUUAUUGGGCGUAAAGGGCGCGUAGGCGGGAACUUAAGUCAGAUGUGAAAUCCUGGAGCUCAACUCCAGAACAGCAUUUGAAACUGAGUUUCUCGAGGGUAGACGGAGAAAACGGAAUUCCACAAGUAGCGGUGAAAUGCGUAGAUAUGUGGAAGAACACCAGUGGCGAAGGCGGUUUUCUAGUUUAUACCUGACGCUGAUGCGCGAAAGCAAGGGGAGCAAACAGG